rnacentral:misc_RNA from 1 species
GAAAUGCGAUAAGUAAUGUGAAUUGCAGAAUUCAGUGAAUCAUCGAAUCUUUGAACGCACAUUGCGCCCGCCAGUAUUCUGGCGGGCAUGCCUGUUCGAGCAUCAUUUCAACCAUCAAGCCCCCGGCUUGUGUUGGGGACCUGCGGCUGACCGCAGGCCCUGAAAAACAGUGGCGGGCUCGCUGUCACACCGAGCGUAGUAGCAUACAUUCUCGCUCAGGGCGUGCUGCGGGUUCCGGCCGUUAAACGACCUUCAUAACCCAAGGUUGACCUCGGAUCAGGUAGGAAGACCCGCUGAACUUAAGC